rnacentral:rRNA from 1 species
CCUACGGGGGGCAGCAGUGGGGGAUAUUGCACAAUGGGGGAAACCCUGAUGCAGCGACGCCGCGUGUGGGAAGACGGUCUUCUGGAUUGUAAACCACUGUCCCCAGGGACGAAAAUGACGGUACCUGGGGAGGAAGCUCCGGCUAACUACGUGCCAGCAGCCGCGGUAAUACGUAGGGAGCAAGCGUUGUCCGGAAUUACUGGGUGAAAAGGGAGCGUAGGCGGGGAUGCAAGUUGGGUGUCAAAACUACCGGCUCAACCGAUAGUCGCACUCAAAACUGCAGCUCUUGAGUGAAGUAGAGGCAGGCGGAAUUCCUGGUGUAGCGGUGAAAUGCGUAGAUAUUAGGAGGAACACCAGUGGCGAAGGCGGCCUGCUGGGCUUUUACUGACGCUGAGGCUCGAAAGUGUGGGGAGCAAACAGGAUUAGAUACCCGUGUAGUC